AGUGUGACAUGCCCGUUUUGGUGUUAAACUCUAAUGUUAUAUUUAUAUUUAAUUGCUUUGGGAUAACGGAGUGUUACAAGAAC
rnacentral:pre_miRNA from 1 species